UAAUACAUGCAAGUAGAACGCAGAGGUCAGGUGCUUGCUCUGGACUGAUGAGUUGCGAACGGGUGAGUAACGCGUAGGUAACCUACCUGAUAGCGGGGGAUAACUAUUGGAAACGAUAGCUAAUACCGCAUAAAAGCCAAUGACCCAUGUCAUUGGUUUGAAAGAAGCAAACGCUUCACUAUGAGAUGGACCUGCGUUGUAUUAGCUAGUUGGUAGGGUAAAGGCCUACCAAGGCGACGAUACAUAGCCGACCUGAGAGGGUGAACGGCCACACUGGGACUGAGACACGGCCCAGACUCCUACGGGAGGCAGCAGUAGGGAAUCUUCGGCAAUGGGGGGAACCCUGACCGAGCAACGCCGCGUGAGUGAAGAAGGUUUUCGGAUCGUAAAGCUCUGUUGUUAGAGAAGAACAGUGAUGGGAGUGGAAAGUCCAUCAUUUGACGGUAACUAACCAGAAAGGGACGGCUAACUACGUGCCAGCAGCCGCGGUAAUACGUAGGUCCCGAGCGUUGUCCGGAUUUAUUGGGCGUAAAGCGAGCGCAGGCGGUUUGAUAAGUCUGAAGUUAAAGGCAGUGGCUUAACCAUUGUAUGCUUUGGAAACUGUUAAACUUGAGUGCAGAAGGGGAGAGUGGAAUUCCAUGUGUAGCGGUGAAAUGCGUAGAUAUAUGGAGGAACACCGGUGGCGAAAGCGGCUCUCUGGUCUGUAACUGACGCUGAGGCUCGAAAGCGUGGGGAGCAAACAGGAUUAGAUACCCUGGUAGUCCACGCCGUAAACGCUGAGUGCUAGGUGUUAGGCCCUUUCCGGGGCUUAGUGCCGUA
rnacentral:rRNA from 1 species